GAUUAACGCUGGCGGCGUGCCUAACACAUGCAAGUCGAACGAGGUAGCAAUACCUAGUGGCAGACGGGUGAGUAACACGUGGUCAACCUUCCCUACAGUGGGGGAUAACUAGCCGAAAGGUUAGCUAAUACCGCAUAACAUCUACGAGUGGCAUCAUUUGUAGAUCAAAGGAGCAAUCCGCUGAAGGACGGGGCCGCGUCCCAUUAGCUAGAUGGUGGGGUAACGGCCUACCAUGGCACCGAUGGGUAGCUGGUUUGAGAGAGCGACCAGCCACACU
rnacentral:rRNA from 1 species